rnacentral:rRNA from 1 species
UCAGCAGCCGCGGUAAUACGUAGGGUGCAAGCGUUAAUCGGAAUUACUGGGCGUAAAGCGUGCGCAGGCGGUUUUGUAAGUCUGAUGUGAAAUCCCCGGGCUCAACCUGGGAACUGCAUUGGAGACUGCAAGGCUAGAGUGUGUCAGAGGGGGGUAGAAUUCCACGUGUAGCAGUGAAAUGCGUAGAGAUGUGGAGGAAUACCGAUGGCGAAGGCAGCCCCCUGGGAUAACACUGACGCUCAUGCACGAAAGCGUGGGGAGCAAACAGGAUUAGAUACCCUGGUAGUCCACGCCCUAAACGAUGUCUACUAGUUGUCGGGACUUAAUUGUCUUGGUAACGCAGCUAACGCGUGAAGUAUACCGCCUGGGGAGUACGGUCGCAAGAUUAAAACUCAAAGGA